AUGAAGAAGGAGUGUUCCAAGUAUGUCGCAUGGCGUGAAAAGAAGGAUGAUUACUCAAGGUAUGUAUACAUGUAUUUGAUUCAUGAGAAAUCUCAAUCUUUGGACGUGUUCAAGUCAUUCAAAGCUGAAGUCAAACUUCAACUUGGAAAGAAAAUAAUAGUUGUCAAAUCUGACAGUGCUGGUGAAUACUAUGGUCGGUAUGAUGGGUCAGGGGAACAAAGUCCAGGGUCCUUCGUGCUUUUCCUCGAUGAGUGUGGAAUUGUUUCUCAAUACAUAAUACCGGGAAAACCCAACAUGAAUAGAGUUGCAGAAUGA